UCGUAACAAGGUCUCCGUUGGUGAACCAGCGGAGGGAUCAUUACAGAGUUUACAACUCCCAAACCCUUAUGUGAACAUACCACGAUGUUGCUUCGGCGGACUCGCCCCGGCGUCCGGACGGCCUAGCGCCGCCCGCGGCCCGGAUCCAGGCGGCCGCCGGAGACCACCAAAACUAUUUUGUAUCAGCAGUUUUUUCUGAAUCCGCCGCAAGGCAAAACAAAUGAAUCAAAACUUUCAACAACGGAUCUCUUGGUUCUGGCAUCGAUGAAGAACGCAGCGAAAUGCGAUAAGUAAUGUGAAUUGCAGAAUUCAGUGAAUCAUCGAAUCUUUGAACGCACAUUGCGCCCGCCAGCAUUCUGGCGGGCAUGCCUGUUCGAGCGUCAUUUCAACCCUCGACUUCCCUUUGGGGAAAUCGGCGUUGGGGACUGGCAGCAUACCGCCGGCCCCGAAAUGGAGUGGCGGCCCGUCCGCGGCGACCUCUGCGUAGUAAUCCAACCUCGCACCGGAACCCCGACGUGGCCACGCCGUAAAACACCCCACUUUCUGAACGUUGACCUCGGAUCAGGUAGGAAUACCCGCUGAACUUAAGCAUAUCAAUAA
rnacentral:misc_RNA from 1 species